rnacentral:rRNA from 1 species
GACGAGGGGCGCAAGCAUUAAUCGGAAUUAUUGGGCGUAAAGAGUUCGUAGGUGGUUAGAUAAGUCAGACGUGAAAUCUCAGAGCUCAACUCUGAAACUGCGCCUGAAACUGUUUAACUAGAGUUUGAAAGAGGGUUGUGGAAUUUUCGGUGGAGCGGUGAAAUGCUUAGAUAUCGAAAGGAACAUCAAUGGCGAAGGCAGCAGCCUGGUUCAAAACUGACACUGAGGAACGAAAGCAUGGGGAGCAAACAGG